AUAUUUAAGUUGCUGCAGUUAAAAAGCUCGUAGUUGGAUUUCGGAUGGGUUCCGUCGGUCCGCCGUUUCGGUGUGCACUGACGGCGCCUAUCUUGCUGUCGGGGACGGGCUCCUGGGCUUAACUGUCCGGGACUCGGAGUCGACGAGGUUACUUUGAGUAAAUUAGAGUGUUCAAAGCAGGCCUACGCUCUGAAUACAUUAGCAUGGAAUAACACGAUAGGACUCUGGCCUAUCUUGUUGGUCUGUAGGACCGGAGUAAUGAUUAAGAGGGACAGUCGGGGGCAUUCGUAUUUCAUUGUCA
rnacentral:rRNA from 1 species